AGCCCGGUAGUGUAGCGGACAAGCAUCCCGGCCUUUGGAGCCGGGGACGGCGGUUCGAAUCCGCCCCGGGCUA
rnacentral:tRNA from 1 species